rnacentral:rRNA from 1 species
GAUGAACGCUGGCGGCGUGCUUAACACAUGCAAGUCGAACGGACAGGCCCUGCUUUUGUGGCGUUCUCGAGUGGCGAACGCGUGUGUAACACGUGUGUAACCUGCCCUUGUCUUUCUGGUAACUUCUCGGGACUGGGGCUCAUAUCGGAUAGGAGCUCCUGCUGCAUGGUGGUGGUUGGAAAGUUUCGGCGGUUGGGGAUGGACUCGCGGCUUAUCCGCUUGUUUGUGAGGUAGUCGCUUACCAAGGGUUUGACGGGUAGCCGGCCUGGGAGGGUUACCGGCCACAUUGGGACUGAGAUACGGACCAGACUCCUACGGGAGGCAGCAGUGGGGAAUAUUGCACAAUGGGCGGAAGCGUGAUGCGGCAACGCCGCGUGCGGGAUGACGGCCUUCGGGUUGUAAACCGCUUUCGCCUGUGACGAAGCGUGCGUGACGGUAAUGGGUAAAGAAGCACCGGCUAACUACGUG